rnacentral:lncRNA from 1 species
AGAAACUGAGGCCCAGAAAGCCACACAGAGUUUAAAUGAUGGCGCUGCCUGGCUCCAAAGCCUGAGCUCUGACCUCCAAGUUUGGCCCCUGCUUCCUGGUCCCGUCCUGGGGAGUCCUUUGGGAUCUUGGCUGAAUGGUGAGCUCAGCAGGAGCCUGAUCAUGAUGACCCUGAGUGCCAAGCAAGGUUGCCUGGCUUUCAACCCCAGAGGUUUGGGGCAGCUUCUGUUGGGGUUACAUGGAGAAGCAGAACACCACAGAGGAGCAAGAGUUUGCCAGAAGAGGUGGUCUUGGGAUGCAAGGAACCCAAACAGCCUCAGAUCUACCUCCUGCCCACACAAGAAUGAUGAAGAGUAUGGGUUGCUGGGAACCAAGGGGACUCGGGUUGUGGGCAUGGGGUCUAGAAAGCUUGAGGUCCUGGGAGGACCCCAAAAUCUAUCUUCUAACAACCUCAGUGCAAGCUGAGAUCCUAUGUCCCCUGGAGAGUAG